UCGAGCGGACAGAUGGGAGCUUGCUCCCUGAUGUUAGCGGCGGACGGGUGAGUAACACGUGGGUAACCUGCCUGUAAGACUGGGAUAACUCCGGGAAACCGGGGCUAAUACCGGAUGCUUGAUUGAACCGCAUGGUUCAAUUAUAAAAGGUGGCUUUUAGCUACCACUUACAGAUGGACCCGCGGCGCAUUAGCUAGUUGGUGAGGUAACGGCUCACCAAGGCAACGAUGCGUAGCCGACCUGAGAGGGUGAUCGGCCACACUGGGACUGAGACACGGCCCAGACUCCUACGGGAGGCAGCAGUAGGGAAUCUUCCGCAAUGGACGAAAGUCUGACGGAGCAACGCCGCGUGAGUGAUGAAGGUUUUCGGAUCGUAAAACUCUGUUGUUAGGGAAGAACAAGUACCGUUCGAAUAGGGCGGUACCUUGACGGUACCUAACCAGAAAGCCACGGCUAACUACGUGCCAGCAGCCGCGGUAAUACGUAGGUGGCAAGCGUUGUCCGGAAUUAUUGGGCGUAAAGCGCGCGCAGGCGGUUUCUUAA
rnacentral:rRNA from 1 species